rnacentral:rRNA from 2 species
UUAAAUUGAAGAGUUUGAUCAUGGCUCAGAUUGAACGCUGGCGGCAGGCCUAACACAUGCAAGUCGAGCGGCAGCGGGAAAGUAGCUU